CCCCGAAGGCGGCCACUGCCCGUGCGCAGAGGCCUUCACGCUGGAGGCAAAAGGGUUUUCUCCUCCCUUUGCCUUCUGCUAUCAGGAAGUGAAAUCUCUCCUCCAAGCCCUCCACCGACUUCUGCUGGCCCCGCACCAGUCAGGUCGGGCUCUGGUGCCCGCUCCCGGGUGUUGGCAGCCGCUGGCCAAGGAGAAGGGCCCACCCGGUGGCGGGCAGGGAGGGCGACGCCCCGGAGCCGGUGAGUCCAGGCCCCGCCACCCCGAGCCCGGCCUCCCCAGCCCUUUAGACGGGAAGCUGUGGACCUGAUUUGACCUUUACCCUGGAGCUGCCCUGGAGCAAGCAAAAUGUUGCCGGUAGCGUCUAGAAGGAAGAACCCACCGGCCCUCACCUAGCCCCGCAGGGCAAAGCUGAGCAAAGGGCAAAGCCCGUGAGAUCCUUGGAACCUCGGCUACUAUUUUUCUCUUCCACCUAAAGGGUUGGUAAUCCAGUGCCCUUGUUUUUAAGCCCGGGAGUCUGCAGAUUGUUGGAUUUUGAAGAGGAGGAGGAUAUAAACAUCAAGGAUUAGAGGACAGGAGAGGCCGAAGGAAGAGCAGAGAGACUGCCAAUGCGUCUGCCGACGGCAGAGCUUUUGAUGAAGCAUUUUAAAGGUCUGGGCAGUUAAGAAGCGGUUUUUAAAGUCUGAAUGGAGAUGAAGUUGGUGGAGAACCCUGAAUCACUAGCCCCUGAUGGGAAGGUGGCAGCGUUUAUCAGCAGCAUCUAGGAGCCCAGGGCCAGCGCCUAUGACAUCACGUCCUCUCCUGUCUGCUAUCAGUUGGAUGCAACAGGAAAUUGACGAAGGUGCUAGGCAGUUUCCUUUCUGCUCUGACCCGACCAGCUUCCUCUGCAGCUUGCUCCCGGCUUAUUGUAAAGGAAAAUCAUGAAAUACCAGUCCGUUUCCUCCAGUUGGAUCAAGCCUAGGACAAGGAAGGAAAAACACAUUUCUAAGAUUAGUCAGUUUCCCUUUGCAGUUGUGGGGUUGGUUCCGGGCCUCCAGCUGACCCUUCUCUUCGACGUGUAUGGCUCGCAGCUCAGCUUUACAUCAUAGGCACGAUAAGGACUUGUGGCAAAGUGAGCAAACGCGUGUUAUGUAAUUCUUGGAGGAAAUCACGGGUUCAUUCAUGGGAAAGCUGCCCCAUGACGAACAGCUUAUCUGAUUAGCUUUCUAUUCUUCUCUGACUUCUGUCGAACUCGUUGGUUCCAGGAGGUCAAACAAAAUGCAGGUACUUCUAAUGGGUGUACCUGGCUGAGUUCUUUUGCUCUUUUCUCAGUCUCAGACUGAGACUCAGAAGGAGCCGUUUCAAUGGAGAAUCUUUAUGUAAAAUUGACAAACGAAUGGAGUCAGUUUAGUGAAAGAGCCAGGCUGGACUACUCCAAAGAGCAGGAAGUUAUGUCUGGUGUCCCAGAAGGAAAUGUGAAUUCUGUUGGGUAUGAGAGGGAGAUGCUAUUACCUGUUGGAAAACGUAACGGAGAGACUGGCAUCCAGGGAAUGCAACUGGCUUACUUUGUAGAAGUAAUUCAACUUGAAGAUGGGAAUUACCACUUAAAAUACCCUUUCAGGGGGCUCCUGGGGUGGGGGGGCUCAGGUCAUGAUCCCAGGGUCCUGGGAUGGAGCCCUGCAUUAGGCUCCCUGCUCCCUGUGGGGAGUCUACUUCCCCCUCUCCCUCUGCCUGCUGCUCCCUCUCCUCGUGCUCUUUUUCUCUCUCUCUCCCAAAUAAAUAAAUAAAAUCUUUAAAAAAUCCUUUCAGCAAACUUAACAAUGUGCAGGAACAAUGCAUCGGUGUUCACACUGAAUGGGACUAUAUUAAUUUAGCAGGUGGACGGUUCUUCAUCACAUUCCAUUUCCUGUUAUUUUAACGUACCUGUUUUUAAUUUCCCUUUGAAAAGUUUCCUCAUUUCUGUAUUCAUAGCUAUUAUUAAAAUAAUAUUCCCACCAAUUUCUCUUGUAUAGCUUUGUAUGAUCUCUAAUAUUUAUACUGUAAAAAUUCCUCUAGCUAAGACAUCAACUGUGCUGAAAUGGGUAAUGUGUUAAGAAUAUGACUAUCUGCAGCUUUGAGAUAUGAACAGUUGAUAAACAGACUGGAAGCAUAAAUAAGGUGUUGACAUCAAGGGUGCUCAUUAAUAAACAUCCUGCAUACUACAAACUCUGUGGCAAGAGCCUGCUUCCCAGUGAACUCAGCCAUCAACAGUGACUCUGUUAAAAGCAUCAUUGACCAACUAGAGUGGUGCCAAUGACAAUAAUAGCCCCUUGGGUUGUUGAGAAAGUUAAGUAAAACACAUUGAAGACUGCCUGGCUGAUAACAGUUAAGUAAAACACAUUGAAGACUAUCCUGGCUGAUAACAGGCAAGUGUUUGCUGUUAUUAUUACUACUCUACUCAUCAGGUAGGUGAAGGAUUAUUCUGAACAAAAGGGUCUGACCUGUUUGAAUGGCUCUAGAGGGAGUUACUAGGACCAGAGGGUAAGAACCAUAGCAAGCUUGACUUUGGCUCAAAGAUUAGAUCUGACAGGGAAGUGUUUGGCUCCUUGUCACCCGAGCUUGGGACUCCUUGAUAGGGAUGUUAAGGGUUG